GUCGUCUCGCCCGCGCGCAGCCCGGCUCCCCUCCCCCGCGGGGAACUGGGGUCCGACCCGGGAGAGACUCGCGGGGCGCGGGCGGCGACAACUUUCCCGCGCGGGCCGGGGAGCAGAGAGGGGGCCGUGACCGCCUGGCCCGGGAGGCAAAGAACUGGAUCUGGCUGCGGGCGACAGCAGGUAGACUUGCGGGGCCCGAAGGCCUGACCCCGGCGUGGUGCAGCGCCCAGGCCACAGCCCCGGGUCUGGACGAGAGGCCUGCUGCUGUCUUGUGCUAGCCCCAGACUGACCUCUAGAUUUGCAGGCCACCGAACCCCUCAGCUGUGCGUGACCUUCCAGCCUGGCCAGGCCCGACUGGCCAUCUGAGUGUCUAGGAAGUGCCUUGGCCCCUGUACCUGUUCCCUUCCCAGCCUGCAGCAGCCGCCCGCCUCUGGCAGGGUGGCCCGAGAAGGUGCCACAGUCCGGUCCCACCUGCUGUCCCUCACCGUGCCUCGGACGGCUGGGGUUCCUGGGGAUGGGAUUUGAUGCCAGUCACAAAUCACAUUGCCAGGGAUUUCCAACUGACCCUGUGCUCUGCCCUGGGGGCUCCUGUUGCCAAGGAUGUUUGUCUUGGGGACGGGUAACGGAGAAGCCCGGCAUGACCACUGGCCUGAGGAGCAGGGCUUAGCUGCUUGUGAGCAAGGUUCACUGCAGUCGUGUUCACAGUGGCUAAGUUCCGCCCCCCGGACCCCACGUCCUCAGGCCGCUGCCGCCCACCCUGCUCUGCCUCCCGCCUGGCCUGGCCUGGCUCUGCCUCUCCCUGGGCUCGGCCUCCUGUGCCUACUGAGCUGAAACAGUUGGUUCCAGUGCACUGGCUCAGUUCAGCAGGAACAGGAGUCCAGCCCCCUAGGAGCUGGCACCCCUGCAGCUGUCUGCCAUGACCGAGACCUGGGGGCGAUGGGGUAAUUGGUCCCACGUGGGCCCAGCCGUCUGCUGGAGGCUCCUCUAGGCCUGCACUGGGUGCCCACCCCAUAUGGCCACACCUUUGGACUUUUGUGGGUCCCAAAUAGAACAGAUGGGUGAGUGGGUGAUCCUUGCGUUAAAGCCCGCUGUGUCCCCUCAGUGCCUGGAGGCCCUUCUCAGUCUGGUGGGGCUCGGGCGCCACCCCUUACACACACCGUCUUUGAAGUCAGUUACUCAAGAGGAAGCUGUUUUAGGCCCUCUAACGGUUAAAUGCCAACUCCCAGCUUCCGUGACAAGGCACUGACCUGACCCAGUGUGCCUAGCACUCCCAUGGGGCCUGCAGCUCUGGUGACAGCGAGGCGGGUCUGCACAGGCUCUCAGGGUUAUGAACAGACGGAUCCAUGCCCACCUCCCCACCCCACGUUGUGCCUGUUGUAAUCUCCAGGCUUGGAAAUUAAAAAGUUGCCUGUACCCACAACUGAGAGUGGAUGUGGACUAGUUGGCAUUGGCACGGGCCGAGUCGCACUUCCCCCCGCCACCCAGUGUCCUCUCCCCACCCUGGGCAGGGGCAAAUGGAAACCUGGCUGGAGGAACAGAGGGUUGAAGCUUGUAUUGGAUGUUGUGCAUAUUUUCCAAUUAAAUAAACGCUCCCCAGCCCCAUUC